rnacentral:miRNA from 1 species
AUUACCUGGGGAUCUUGUUAAAAUGCAGAUUCUGACUAGUAGGUCUGAUGUUCUGCAUUUCUAACAAGCUACCCAGUGGUACCGCUGCUGCU